UGGCGAACGGGUGAGUAACGCGUGAGGAACCUGCCUCAAAGAGGGGGACAACAGUUGGAAACGACUGCUAAUACCGCAUAAGCCCACGGGUCGGCACCGACCAGAGGGAAAAGGAGCAAUCCGCUUUGAGAUGGCCUCGCGUCCGAUUAGCUAGUUGGUGGGGUAAUGGCCCACCAAGGCAACGAUCGGUAGCCGGACUGAGAGGUUGAACGGCCACAUUGGGACUGAGACACGGCCCAG
rnacentral:rRNA from 1 species